UUUUUUCCGNCGGUGAACCUGCGGAAGGAUCAUUG
rnacentral:rRNA from 1 species